UUUCCGUAGGUGAACCUGCGGAAGGAUCAUUACAGAGUUCAUGCCCUCACGGGUAGAUCUCCCACCCUUGAAUAUUUAUACCUUAGUUGCUUUGGCAGGCCGUGGAAACACCAUGGGCUCCGGCUUAUGCGUGCCUGCCAGAGGAAACAAACUCUGUUUUUAGUGAUGUCUGAGUACUAUAUAAUUGUUAAAACUUUCAACAACGGAUCUCUUGGUUCUG
rnacentral:misc_RNA from 1 species